rnacentral:lncRNA from 1 species
AGCGUUUCUAAGAUCAAAAAUAGUCUUUAUUUGAAGUUAAUCAUUGAACAGUCUUUUUUAAUUUGUUCUACUUAGUUGUAUACAACAGAUGAAUGCAUUUUAAUUCAUCAUACACAAAUGGAGCACAACAUUUCAAUUCUCUAGUUGUACAUGGUGUAGAGUCACACCAUUUGUGCAUCAUACAUGUACCUAGGGUAAUAAUGUCCAUCUCCUUUGCUGUCUUUCCUACCCUCAUAAACCCUCCUCAGCCUCCCCUUUGCCCUAUCCAAAGAACCUCCAUUCUUCCCAUGCCCUGCCCCCUAUCAUAGAUCAGCAUCCACUAAUCAGAGAAAACAUCCAGCCUUUAGGGUUUGGGGAUUGGCUUACUUCGCUUAAUAUAAUGUUCUCCAGCUCCAUCCAUUUACCUGCAAAUGCCACCAUAUUAUUCUCUUUUAAUGCUGACUAAUAUUCCACUGUGUAUAUGUACCACAGUUUCUUUAUUCAUUCAUCUACUGAUGGACAUCUAGGUUGGUUUUACAGUUUAGCUAUUGUGAAGUUAGCUGCUAUAGACAUUGGUGUGGCUAUGUCACUAUAGUAUGCUGAUUUUAAGUCCUUUGGGUAUAGACUGAGGAGUGGGAUAACUAGGUCAAAUGAUGGUUCCAUUCCAAGUUUUCUGAGGAAUUACCACACUGCUUUCCAGAUUGGUUGCACCAAUUUGCAGUCCCACCAGCAAUGUAUGAGUGUGCCUUUCUCCCCACACCCUCACCAACACUUAUUAUCACUUGUAUUCUUGAUAGCUGCCAUUCUGACUGGGGUGAGAUGAUAUCUUAGAGAGUAGUUUUGAUUUGCAUUUAUCUGAUUACUAAAGAUAUUGAAUACUUUUUCAUAUAUUUAUUGAUUGCAGGUGUGUCUUCUUCUGAGAAGUGUCUGUUCAGUUCCUUAGCCUAUUUAUUGUUUGGGUUGUUUGGGGGGUAUUAAGUCUUU